UACAGAGGGGGCAAGCGUUAUUCGGAAUUAUUGGGCGUAAAGGGCGCGUAGGCGGCCUGACAAGUGGAUGGUGAAAUCCCUCGGCUUAACCGAGGAACUGCCAUCCAGACUGUUUUGGCUUGAGACCGGGAGAGGUGAGUGGAAUUCCCAGUGUAGCGGUGAAAUGCGUAGAUAUUGGGGAGGAACACCAGUGGCGAAGGCGGCUCACUGGACCGGUACUGACGCUGAUGCGCGAAAGCGUGGGGAGCAAACGGGG
rnacentral:rRNA from 1 species